GAUUAUCGCAUUUCAACUGAUACAAUUCCAAGAUAAAAGAUAGUUUGGAAAACUCAGUGCAACCUGGAUAUAACUGUUCUUCACCUUCUUUUAGACGGCGUAAGAACGAAUCGUCAUAUCUCUGCUCUGGAUCUUCGUCGACUGGAUCUACAUCGACUGGAUCUUCAUGGACAGGCUCGUAUUCGAGAGGUUCUGUUUCGAGAAAAUCUUCGUCGACUGUAUUGUCAACUACAUGUUCUCCGUAAACCGCACGAACCAAUCCAAUCAUAUCGUUACCAG
rnacentral:lncRNA from 1 species